UGUUUAUAAUAUUACUUACAUUUCUAUAGAUGUUCGUUUUCACGAUGACCGCUCAGCCUUGGUUGUAGUAGUGCGUGUACCGAUAAGCGUUAACGCAUUUGUGUGCGUAACGUAAACGACGUAAACGACUAUGAGCGCCACGCACACUACAACAUGUGUACCUACGUGUGCACUCACACAUACAAGCCUAACG